rnacentral:lncRNA from 1 species
GGCCCUGCUGGUCCAGGAGGAGAGACAGCUGCCUGCGAGCCUCCUGCAGGGCCCUGCGGGCGAUGACCAGGCCAUGGCAGUCGUGGAGCUGCUGGCCCGAGAACUCCAGCCAGCCAGCACAGCAGCUGCUGCCGGUGCCCAGAGCCACCAGCUUGUAGAUCUCCUUCACGUGGCCCCUGGCACGCGGGAUCUCUGUGCAGGAGGGGGCAGAGACGGCCCAGCCUAAGGCCCAGUAUGGCGAGCGCUCGUCCAACAGGAGGUCAAAGCCGGCGCUCACCAACGCUGCGCAGCGCUGCUCAUGGGUCAGGAUGUUCUCUGCGCCAGGGCGAGAGACUGCAGGUGACGUCCUGAUGCUCAGAUGGUUUGUACAGCAACCCACCUCCUGCUCACACGCACAGCCACUUCCGCCUCCCCACGGGACUGCCAGCCUCAGUCCUCUUGUCCCCAGCUGCGGCUCAGCUGCCUGGCCCUCCCUCCAUUACCUGGGUUCUCCAGCUGACUCCGGAUGUAGCAGAGGGCAGAGAGCGCU